GAUCCUGGAGGUCAACAUCCGGCAGCGCGAGGCGCCCCCGGGUGCAUUUUGG
rfam:Nitratireductor indicus C115 contig9, whole genome shotgun sequence.